rnacentral:rRNA from 1 species
AAUGAACGUUGGCGGCGUGGAUUAGGCAUGCAAGUCGCGCGAGAAACGUAGCAAUACGCGGAAAGCGGCGUAAGGGAGAGUAAUGCAUGGUUAGCUACCCCCGGGACUGGGAUAGCGGCGGGAAACUGCCGGUAAUACCAGAUGAUGUCUUCGGACCAAACGUGUAAAUCGGCCCGGGGAGGUGACCAUGUCCUAUCAGCUUGUUGGCGGGGUAACGGCCCACCAAGGCAAAGACGGGUAUGGGGCGUGAGAGCGUGCCCCCACUCACUGGGACUGAGACACUGCCCAGACACCUUCGGGUGGCUGCAGUCGAGAAGCUUCGGCAAUGGGCGCAAGCCUGACCGAGCGACGCCGCGUGCGGGAUGAAGGCCUUCGGGUUGUAAACCGCUGUCGUAGGGGAGGAAGGUCUGGUGUAUAGCCAGGCUUGACCGAUCCUAGGAGGAAGGGCCGGCUAAUCUCGUGCCAGCCGCCGCCGUAACAC